rnacentral:rRNA from 1 species
UACGGAGGGUGCGAGCGUUGUUCGGAAUUAUUGGGCGUAAAGCGCGUGUAGGCGGUUUGUUAAGUCUGAUGUGAAAGCCCCGGGCUCAACCUGGGAAGUGCAUUGGAAACUGGCAGACUUGAAUACGGGAGAGGGUAGUGGAAUUCCUGGUGUAGGAGUGAAAUCCGUAGAUAUCAGGAGGAACACCGGUGGCGAAGGCGGCUGCCUGGACCGAUAUUGACGCUGAGACGCGAAAGCGUGGGUAGCAAACAGG